rnacentral:rRNA from 1 species
GACGAACGCUGGCGGCGUGCUUAACACAUGCAAGUCGAACGGAAAGGCCCUGCUUUUGUGGGGUGCUCGAGUGGCGAACGGGUGAGUAACACGUGAGUAACCUGCCCUUGACUUUGGGAUAACUUCAGGAAACUGGGGCUAAUACCGGAUAGGAGCUCCUGCUGCAUGGUGGGGGUUGGAAAGUUUCGGCGGUUGGGGAUGGACUCGCGGCUUAUCAGCUUGUUGGUGGGGUAGUGGCUUACCAAGGCUUUGACGGGUAGCCGGCCUGAGAGGGUGACCGGCCACAUUGGGACUGAGAUACGGCCCAGACUCCUACGGGAGGCAGCAGUGGGGAAUAUUGCACAAUGGGCGGAAGCCUGAUGGAGUAACGCCGCGUGCGGGAUGACGGCCUUCGGGUUGUAAACCGCUUUCGCCUGUGACGAAGCGUGAGUGACGGUAAUGGGUAAAGAAGCACCGGCUAACUACGU